GCUUACGACCACACCCGGCCUGAGUACGCCUGAUCUCGUCUGAUCUCGGAAGCUAAGCAGGGUCGGGCCUGGUUAGUACUUGAUGGAGACCCGCCUGGGAAUACCAGGUGCUGUAAGCU
rnacentral:rRNA from 1 species